rnacentral:rRNA from 1 species
GACGAACGCUGGCGGCGUGCUUAACACAUGCAAGUCGAACGGAAAGGCCCUGCUUUUGUGGGGUGCUCGAGUGGCGAACGGGUGAGUAACACGUGAGUAACCUGCCCUUGACUUUGGGAUAACUUCAGGAAACUGGGGCUAAUACCGGAUAGGAGCUCCUGCUGCAUGGUGGGGGUUGGAUAGUUUCGGCGGUUGGGGAUGGACUCGCGGCUUAUCAGCUUAUUGGUGGGGUAGUGGCUUACCAAGGCUUUGACGGGUAGCCGGCCUGAGAGGGUGACCGGCCACAUUGGGACUGAGAUACGGCCCAGACUCCUACGGGAGGCAGCAGUGGGGAAUAUUGCACAAUGGGCGGAAGCCUGAUGCAGCAACGCCGCGUGCGGGAUGACGGCCUUCGGGUUGUAAACCGCUUUCGCCUGUGACGAAGCGUGAGUGACGGUAAUGGGUGAAGAAGCACCGGCUAACUACGUG